ACUAUACAGAUAUAAUUCAAUUUAAGUCACACCUCAUUUUAUUAGCAAUACAGGCAGUCGUGAUUGCAAUCAUGAAGUUUUCAUAUAUUUUUUUGGUGAUUUUCUGUGUGUCUGACCUCGUAACUGGGGCAUUAUAUUUUUCGCCGAGUCGAUAUGCCAUAUACCGCUAUAUCUAUAUCAAAAACAGAAACACAAAUAACUAUGAUUAUGAUGAUUAUAAUUAUUAUGAUUAUGAUAUACAAUGAUAUUUUCUAUAUCAUAAAGGGGAAAAGGAGUCCUUCAGACGAAGAAAGCAAUAUACUCAAAUAAAAGAACAAUAAUUGGUUGAAUUUCACUUUUUAACACGCUUAUAUUAGCUUCACUUGUAACUAAGUAUGUAUGUAGGAAAAUCUUCGAAUCUUAAUUUGUUUUUAUAAUAAGUAGAUAUAUGCCUAAAUAUAUCAAAAAUAAUGUAAAACAAAGAAUAAAAAUGUUUGUCUUCAUAAACU